GGAGAGAUACCCAAGUGGCCAAAGGGAUCAGACUGUAAAUCUGACGGCGUAUGUCUUCGAAGGUUCGAAUCCUUCUCUCUCCA
rnacentral:tRNA from 1 species